GAUGAACGCUGGCGGCGUGCCUAAUACAUGCAAGUCGAGCGAACAGACGAGGAGCUUGCUCCUCUGACGUUAGCGGCGGACGGGUGAGUAACACGUGGAUAACCUACCUAUAAGACUGGGAUAACUUCGGGAAACCGGAGCUAAUACCGGAUAAUAUAUUGAACCGCAUGGUUCAAUAGUGAAAGACGGUUUUGCUGUCACUUAUAGAUGGAUCCGCGCCGCAUUAGCUAGUUGGUAAGGUAACGGCUUACCAAGGCAACGAUGCGUAGCCGACCUGAGAGGGUGGUCGGCCACACUGGAACUGAGACACGGUCCAGACUCCUACGGGAGGCAGCAGUAGGGAAUCUUCCGCAAUGGGCGAAAGCUUGACGGAACAACGCCGCGUGAGUGAUGAAGGUCUUCGGAUCGUAAAACUCUGUUAUUAGGGAAAAACAAAUGUGUAAGUAACUAUGCACGUCUUGACGGUACCGAAUCAGAAAGCCACGGCUAACUACGUG
rnacentral:rRNA from 1 species